GACGAACGCUGGCGGCGUGCCUAAUACAUGCAAGUUGAGCGAUGAAGAUUGGUGCUUGCACCAAUUUGAAGAGCAGCGAACGGGUGAGUAACGCGUGGGGAAUCUGCCUUUGAGCGGGGGACAACAUUUGGAAACGAAUGCUAAUACCGCAUAACAACUUUAAACAUAAGUUUUAAGUUUGAAAGAUGCAAUUGCAUCACUCAAAGAUGAUCCCGCGUUGUAUUAGCUAGUUGGUGAGGUAAAGGCUCACCAAGGCGAUGAUACAUAGCCGACCUGAGAGGGUGAUCGGCCACAUUGGGACUGAGACACGGCCCAAACUCCUACGGGAGGCAGCAGUAGGGAAUCUUCGGCAAUGGACGAAAGUCUGACCGAGCAACGCCGCGUGGGUGAAGAAGGUUUUCGGAUCGUAAAACUCUGUUGGUAGAGAAGAACGUUGGUGAGAGUGGAAAGCUCAUCAAGUGACGGUAACUACCCAGAAAGGGACGGCUAACUACGUG
rnacentral:rRNA from 1 species